GACGAACGCUGGCGGCGUGCUUAACACAUGCAAGUCGAACGGAAAGGCGCUGCUUUCGUGGGGUUCCCGAGUGGCGAACGGGUGAGUAACACGUGAGUAACCUUCCCUGGACUUUGGGAUGACUUCAGGAAAGUGCUGCUAAUACAGGCUAGGAGCUGCUGCUGCAUGGUGGGGGUUGGACCUUUUCGUCGGAUGUGGAUGUACUCCGGGCGGACUAGCUUGUUGGUGGGGUAGAGGCCUACCCAGGCGUUGACGCGUAGCCGGCCUGAGAGGAUGAUCAGUCACACUGGAACUGAGACACGGUCCAGACGCGUAAGGGAGGCAGCAGUGGGGAAUAUUGGACAAUGGGCGAAAGCCUGAUCCAGCCAUGGCGCGUGUGUGAAGAAGGUCUUCGGAUUGUAAAGCACUUUAAGUUGGGAGGAAGGGCAGUAAGUUAAGACCUUGCUGUUUUGACGUUACCAACAGAAUAAGCACCGGCUAACUUCGUG
rnacentral:rRNA from 1 species